rnacentral:rRNA from 1 species
UGGCACUGAACAUUGACCCUACAUGUGUAGGAUAGGUGGGAGGCUUUGAAGCACGUACGCCAGUAUGUGUGGAGCCGUCCUUGAAAUACCACCCUUGUAGUGUUGAUGUUCUAACGUCGACCCCUAAUCGGGGUUGCGGACAGUGCCUGGUGGGUAGUUUGACUGGGGCGGUCUCCUCCCAAAGAGUAACGGAGGAGCACGAAGGUGGGCUAAUCACGGUUGGACAUCGUGAGGUUAGUGCAAUGGCAUAA